rnacentral:lncRNA from 1 species
CGUCCACCGCCAUCCUGGCCCCAUGAAGGAAGCAUUGACCUUAGUAAUGUGAGCUUCAGGUACAGCUCAGACGGGCCUCUGGUACUGAUGGACCUGACAUCAUGGAUUCCCCGAAGAAGCAAGGUUGGCAUUGUGGGAAGAACAGGAGCUGGAAAAAGUUCUCUCGUCUCGGCCCUUUUCAGAUUGUCGGAACCCAAUGGUAUAAUUCGGAUUGAUGGGAUCUGGACACACAACAUUGGACUUCACGAUUUAAGGAAGAAAAUGACAGUCGUACCUCAGGUGUGCAUCACAGAGCAUUCUCUCGUGGUCUUUUCAUAAGGCACCUAAGUUUAAUUGCUUUUAAUUUGAUUGUUGUUUUUUCAAAUUGCAUGAAGCCGUUGAUCUUUUCCCUCCCAAUAGAGCACGUUUUUAGCAGCAGAUAUUUUCAACAGUUAUUUUCAUCCAAUAUAAAGUUUUGUUUGUUCAUUCAUUUGUAUGUGAUUUGUUUGAUAACUUACCCAGAUGGAUAUCUGGACUCUUCCACUGAUAGCCGUAUCAUUCUGAGGAAAAAAAAUAUAAAUGGUUCGUUUAGCACUGGAGAGGUUCCUACAGGGAAACACGAAUUUUAAGUGUCUUAAUGAUGAAUCUUUGCUAUAGGAACUAAAGCCACCCUUUCAAAAGUGAUCAUCUCCCAGGAGGGCUUUCUGUGCUCCUGUGGGGCUCUGAGAAUUAGAGAGUGUGUGGGUGCUUUGGGGAGACAUUGAGAAUUCAGCCAUUCAUCAGCGAGUAGAACCAGGGAGGCCGUAGAGAAGAGUGAGGAGGAGCACGGGACUCGGAUCCCAUCUCUGUGCUCCUCAGGCUUCUCCCCCUCACAGGGCAGCUCGCAGUACCACCCCCUGGAGCUGUUGUGAGGACUGAACAGGUCCGUGCGUGUGGAGAGCUUCCUGCAGACCCCAUGCCUGGUUGCUGUGACGGUGGAGCCUUGACGUGACCCUCUCUUCCUGGGCUCUGGUUCUGUUUUCUUUUCUUCCGCUUCUUUAAAAUGUAUGUUGUUCGGGGAGUGUUUGGAGAUUGGAUUAUAUGCACAGCAGACGUUCCUGUCAUUCCUUUUGGUUCAUCCACCCAAAUAAUUCAGACUAUUGAUUGAGCAAUUACUAGUCUCUCAUAAAAUAGUCAAGGGCAACAUAGGCUCUGUGCCCACAUCUUCCAUCCUGCCCUCUAUCAGACUUGCUGUUUUUCUUUAUUUUUUUUUUAUUUUGAGGGGUAUAUAUAUAUAUUCUAGAAUAUAUAUAUAUUCUAACCUCUUGAGAUGAGAAACACAGGGAAGAGUCAAGACAAAAGGCUCAGGCAGACGUGCUUCCUGGAGUGCGGGUACAGUGAGCUCUGAAGUGCCUCUUUAGGAGGAAGCAUGUAGAACGUGGCACCAAAGGAAGGAGAACAUGGACAUGUGUCCUGUGAUAGCACAGCUACUGCCACCCGCCCCUGACCUCUGAAAUACCUGGAAGUAGUAGAAGUACUUUUGAAAUCAAGAUCUUUCUUUGAGACCACAGUGAGACACCACCUCGCACUCCUUAUGAUGGUCAUUCUCAAUAAAAUAAGAUAAAAUAAGUGUUGAUGAGCAUGUCAGGAAAUCAGAAUCCUGGGAGUUCCCGUGUGGCUCAAUGAAAAUGAAUCUGACUAGUAUCCAUGAGGAUGCAGGUUUGAUCCCUGGCCUCGUUUAAUGGGUUGGCUGUCACAAUGAACUAAGGUAUAGGUUGCAGACGGAUCUCGGAUCCGAAGUUGCUGUGGCUGUGGUGUAGGCCAGCAGCUGUAGCUCAGAUUCAACCCCAAGCCUGGGAACCUCCAUAUGCUGUGGGUGUGGCCCUUUAAAAAAAAGAGAGAAGAAAAAAAAGGAAUCAGAAUCUUUGUGCCUUGCUGGUAGGAAUGUAAAAUGGUGCAGCCACUGUGGCAAACAAGAUGGAGGUUCCUCAAAAAAGUUAAAAAUAUAGUUAUUAUAUGAUCCAGCAAUUCUGCUUUGGGGUAUAGACUCAAAAGAAUUGAAAGCAGGGUUUUUAAGAGAUACCUGGAUAUGCAUGUUUGUAGCAGCAUUAUUCACUGUAGCAAAAAGGUGAAGACAGUCUGUGGUGCAGGAGUUCCCUAGUAGGAUUUCCUGUUGUGGCUCAGUGGUUAACAAAGCCGACUAGCAUCCGUGAGCACGGGUUUGAUCCCUGGCCUCGCUCACUUGGUUAAGGAUCUGGCAUUGCUGUGGCUGUGGUGUAGGCCAGCGGCUACAGCUCCAAUUCGAACUCUAGCCUGGGAACCUCCAUAUGCCUUGGGUGUGGCCCAAAAAA